AAAGGGUUUCUGUGUUGUUCUCA
rnacentral:miRNA from 1 species